UACGUACGAGGCGAGCGUUAUCCGGAAUUACUGGGCGUAAAGCGCGCGCAGGUGGCCUGUUAAGUCAGACGUGAAAUCUCCCGGCCCAACUGGGAGGGGUCGUUUGAGACUGGCCGGCUUGAGGACAGCAGAGGUAGGUGGAAUUCCUGGUGUAGUGGUGAAAUGCGUAGAGAUCAGGAGGAACACCGGUGGCGAAGGCGGCCUACUGGGCUGUCACUGACGCUGAGGCGCGAAAGCUCGGGGAGCGAACGGG
rnacentral:rRNA from 1 species